AUUGAACGCUGGCGGAAUGCUUUACACAUGCAAGUCGAACGGUAGAGGGGGCAACCCCUCGAGAGUGGCGAACGGGUGAGUAAUAUAUCGGAACGUGCCCAGUCGUGGGGGAUAACGUAGCGAAAGUUACGCUAAUUCCGCAUACGAUCCAAGGAUGAAAGCGGGGGAGCGCAAGACCUCGCGCGAUUGGAGCAGCCGAUAUCAGAUUAGGUAGUUGGUGGGGUAAAGGCUCACCAAGCCAACGAUCUGUAGCUGGUCUGAGAGGACGACCAGCCACACUGGAACUGAGACACGGUCCAGACUCCUACGGGAGGCAGCAGUGGGGAAUUUUGGACAAUGGACGCAAGUCUGAUCCAGCCAUUCCGCGUGCAGGAUGAAGGCCCUCGGGUUGUAAACUGCUUUUGUACGGAACGAAAAGGUCUCUCUUAAUACGGGGGGCUCAUGACGGUACCGUAAGAAUAAGCACCGGCUAACUACGUGCCAGCAGCCGCCGUAA
rnacentral:rRNA from 1 species